rnacentral:lncRNA from 1 species
AGUUGUCCAUAUGUUUUCAGUAAUAUUUGCUAUGGGAUUUCUCAUAAGUCCCUUUGUUAUCUGCAUCCCAUCACUUAGAAAUCUCCCUCUCUUCCUCACUGAAGUCCAUAGCCUGCUCACCUCCACUAACCGAUGUUUUCGACUCGAGUUCGGUUCGCACCUCGCGUUACUCUUCAGUUAUACGCAACAAGCUUCUCUUCGUUGAUCUUUUCCUCCGUCGAGUUAAACCAAAAUUGGUUGUAAUGUUUACUGUUUAUUAGUUGAGAUAGGUUUUGUUUCGUACUUGGUUCGUGUGAAAAUUGAUCUUUUUUGUUUUAUGUUUAAAACUCGACUACAAAGUUUGUAGUGUGUUGAUUUAACUAUUUGAAUAAAUUUUUUCUACACUCAAAGAAUAAUUUUACUAGAUUUUCUUCUUUGCUGAUGCUCACGUUUUUUUCGUUUGCUCUUCUUCUUUUUCAUAUUCUUUCUCUUUCGCG